CCACGUCUUUCAGUCUAGUCUUUUCAGAGUAAAUAUUUUUCAUUGUCUCAUAGUUCCUUGUAUAAUGUGGUUUGAAACCCUUCCCUCUCUUGUCUGUCUCUGGGCACCCUUGCCUGUCAGGGUCCCUGUGAAGCCGCCAUGUAAGAAGCAGGCUUUUUGCCCUCCACCAUGAUUGUGAGACGUUCCCCAGCCAUGUGGAACUGACCAUAGUCUCUGAAGACAAAUUGCCUGGGUUUGAGUCAGCUCCGCAUUUCCUUACUUUGUAAACGUGGGUAAGUUCCUUGCCCUCUUUGUGCCUUAAUUUUCUCAAUUUCAGGAAAGGGGAGAUGGCAGCUAUGUAUCACAGAGUUAUUUGAGUUAAUCUGUGUAAAACACUUAGAAGAUGGUAUGUACUUGGCACAUAGUAAGAGCUAUACAUGUGUUAGCAGUUAUUCUGUUGAAUGACACAGCCUUUCAAAGUGGAAGGGCCAAAUCCUAUGAUUUUCUGAAACAUAAAGUAGAAAUAUAGGCCUAGCCAAACUGUUUGCUUCCUACCUCCCUCCUAUGGGUUAACAGAGUCCUAGAUCCUAGGUAUCUGGCAAGCACCUGGGACUGCUUUCCUGCUUCCCCAGGAGAACCCUUGGGUCACAGGCCAGGGGUGGGGUCAAGGUCCCUUGUCACUAAAGCUCUCUCAUGCCACUUGUAUCCUCAAGGUGGGCUAAGAGAAAAUGUUGUUCUAGGUUUGCUGGCAGUUCCUACCUACUCUGAUGUCAGGCACAGGGGAGCCUGGAAGCUGUUGAAAUGAGGGUUUUUCCAGGUUGUGCCAUCAGGUUUUCUUUCUGGAUCUCCAGCCCCAUUCCCACCUGGAUUCUGGGAAUUGCCCCUUCGCUGACCUGCAUGGUGACAGUGGUCCUUGUGUGAACAAGGUCCCACCUCUGAGGUCACCUGUGAUGGACUGGACCAAAGUCUCUUCCCCAGAAAUCAAGGCUUGGAAGUAAUAAGUGAUAACAUUAGUCGAGAUGAUCUUUGAAUGGAAGAGAUAUAAAUAGAAGAAUGUGGUAGCCAUUUUCUGCCUUGUCCACUUGUAAAUACACUGAGAAAGGAAGUGUGCAGCAAGUGUGAGAGGUAGAGCAGAGGCUCAGGUAAGAGCGGGGCCAGGAGCAGAGACUGAGCGAGGUGGGCCACUGUGGAAUCACCCAGCAUUCUCAUCUGCAAAUUACCCCUCUUGCUUAGGCUGGCUCCAGUGGGUUUCCACCGCUCGUACUUGAAGAGUUCACA